GCAGCCGCGGUAAUACGUAGGGGGCGAGCGUUGUCCGGAAUGACUGGGCGUAAAGGGCGCGUAGGCGGCCUGUUAAGUUAGAGGUGAAAGUCCUGCUUUCAAGGUGGGAAUUGCCUUUAAUACUGAUGGGCUUGAGUGCGGAAGAGGUAAGUGGAAUUCCCAGUGUAGCGGUGAAAUGCGUAGAGAUUGGGAGGAACACCAGUGGCGAAGGCGACUUACUGGGCCGUAACUGACGCUGAGGCGCGAAAGCGUGGGGAGCGAACAGGAUUAGAUACCCC
rnacentral:rRNA from 1 species